rnacentral:rRNA from 1 species
UACAGACAGUGCGAGUGUUAUUCAUCUUUAUUGGGCGUAAAGGGUACGUAGGUUGUUUUUAAAACUAGGUUUGAAAUGCUAGAGAUAAAAUUUUAGAAUAGGACCUAAAGAUUUAAAGACUAAUUGAAUUAAGGAGAGGUUUUGAAGAAUUUUUCAACUAGUGAAAGGAAUAAAAAUCCUGGCAUCUGAAGAGGACUACCAAGGGCGAAAGCAUCAUUCCAUUCUUAAUUGACACUAAGGUACGGAAGCCUAGGUAAUCAACAGG